rnacentral:rRNA from 1 species
UACGUAGGGUGCGAGCGUUAAUCGGAAUUACUGGGCGUAAAGCGUGCGCAGGCGGUUUUGUAAGCCAGAUGUGAAAUCCCCGGGCUUAACCUGGGAACUGCAUUUGUGACUGCAUAGCUAGAGUACGGUAGAGGGGGAUGGAAUUCCGCGUGUAGCAGUGAAAUGCGUAGAUAUGCGGAGGAACACCGAUGGCGAAGGCAAUCCCCUGGGCCUGCACUGACGCUCAUGCACGAAAGCGUGGGGAGCAAACAGG